AGUGAACGCUGGCGGUAGGCCUAACACAUGCAAGUCGAACGGCAGCACAGUAAGAGCUUGCUCUUACGGGUGGCGAGUGGCGGACGGGUGAGGAAUACAUCGGAAUCUACUUUUUCGUGGGGGAUAACGUAGGGAAACUUACGCUAAUACCGCAUACGACCUACGGGUGAAAGCAGGGGAUCUUCGGACCUUGCGCGAUUGAAUGAGCCGAUGUCGGAUUAGCUAGUUGGCGGGGUAACGGCCCACCAAGGCGACGAUCCGUAGCUGGUCUGAGAGGAUGAUCAGCCACACUGGAACUGAGACACGGUCCAGACUCCUACGGGAGGCAGCAGUGGGGAAUAUUGGACAAUGGGCGCAAGCCUGAUCCAGCCAUACCGCGUGGGUGAAGAAGGCCUUCGGGUUGUAAAGCCCUUUUGUUGGGAAAGAAAAGCAGCAGGUUAAUACCCCGCUGUUCCGACGGUACCCAAAGAAUAAGCACCGGCUAACUUCGUG
rnacentral:rRNA from 1 species